rnacentral:lncRNA from 1 species
GGGCAAUGAGAAGACCAUGAACCUCAACCCCAUGAUCCUCACCAACAUCCUGUCGUCGCCUUACUUCAAAGUGCAGCUCUACGAGCUCAAGACCUACCACGAGGUGGUGGACGAGAUCUACUUUAAGGUCACGCAUGUUGAGCCAUGGGAGAAGGGGAGCAGGAAAACUGCUGGCCAGACGGGGAUGUGCGGAGGGGUUCGAGGCGUUGGAACAGGAGGCAUUGUUUCUACGGCAUUUUGCCUCCUGUACAAAUUAUUUACCCUGAAGUUAACUCGAAAGCAAGUGAUGGGUCUCAUAACACAUACAGACUCUCCAUAUAUCAGAGCCCUUGGAUUUAUGUAUAUAAGGUAUACACAACCCCCUACAGACCUGUGGGACUGGUUCGAGUCCUUCCUUGAUGAUGAGGAGGUUUGGGACUGACAAUAGCUGACUAACAUGUCCUGAGCUGUGAGAGGGCAUAGCAAGAAGGCCUUCAUGCGGACCUAGAUGUGAAAGCUGGUGGAGGCUGUGUAAUGACCAUUGGAGAGAUGCUUCGUUCUUUUCUCACAAAGCUCGAGUGGUUUUCUACUUUGUUUCCAAGAAUUCCAGUUCCAGUUCAGAAGAAUAUUGAUCAGCAGAUUAAAACUCGACCUAGGAAAAUCAAGAAAGACGGAAAGGAAGGUGUUGAGGAAAUAGACAGACAUAUUGAGAGACGGCGGUCCAGAUCUCCAAGAAGAUCACUGAGCCCACGGAGGUCUCCAAGAAGAUCAAGAAGCAGAAGUCAUCACCGGGACGGUCAUGGAUCUUCUAGUUUCGACAGAGAAUUAGAGAGAGAGAAAGAACGCCAACGACUAGAGCGGGAAGCCAAAGAGAGAGAGAAAGAAAGGCGAAGAUCUCGAAGCCUUGAUCGGGGCUUAGACCGCAGGCGGAGCCGCAGUCGGGAGAGGCACAGAAGUCGCAGUCGCAAUCAUGAUAGCAAGGACCAGUCAGACAGACAGGAUCAUCAGAGAAGCCAGAGUGUAGAGCCAGAAAGCCAAGAAAAAGAACAUAAAAACAAAGAUGAGACUGUGUGAAGAUUUUGUAAAAUUGGAUCACAUUGAAUCCUAUAAAUGUUGAUUAAAUUCUGCUUUUCCCCCCCCCCAGUUGAGGUUGUGCAGUAGUUAUGCACUCUGAGCUCCCUGUAGGCUGUUUUCUUUUGUGUAGGAAGUGCCUUUGUAAUCCCAUUGAGCAUUGAUGUUUCCACCCAGUUGAGUUGACACAUAAUGCACAGAUUGUUCUUGCAUUUUUGUUUGUUUUUAAAAUGUACAGUGUGUACAUACGUCCUGAAAAUGUUUUAAUUCCUUCGGCAUGGUUGCCAUGUUGGUUAAAUUUGUAUAAGGCAAUAAACUGCCACUAAUUCUAUUUUUGUUUUGUAGGUGUGAGAUUAUGGUUGUGUACUGAAGUUAGCAUGGCUGUGCUUUUCAUAAUAGAAUGCUAAAAACUUUGGGAAUGGAUCUUGGAUGUUUGCUUUAGGAGAAUUAUGUUUUUCAGUAUACAUGAAGGCAACAGUUGUAGGGUUAACAUUCUUGUCCACUGUAUAUUACCUUGGAAGCUCUUGUUAAUAUGUUAUUAUUCUCCACAGUUAAUGUUAGAAAGAAUUUAUAAGAGGUUUAAAUUAGGCUGUGAUUUGAUCAAAAGUCCUUUUAGCAUUCUACCUCAAAGGGACACUGUUAGUAUGCCUAAAAUUUAUUUACUUUUUACAAUGUGCUUCUCCCCCGCCCCUUGAAUUCUUUCUCAGAUUUUAAAAAUACUAUAUUAAAAUGUGUAAAGCCUGGCAUUGUAGCAGCCCUAUACUAACCAGUGCUGGGAGAGGGUGGGGCACAUGAGUAGAGAAGCAUUCAAGCCUCAAGCUUCCAAAGCAUUUUUAUAAAUGGAGAAUACUUAAAUUAUGAAACAGCUUGAUAUAGUAUCCUUUUUUAAGAAUUCAAAACUUUUUUUAUUGAUAAUGAAGAUUGCUGUUUGAGUUUUUAAACUUAAUCUAGGACAGAAAUAUUAAUAGUAAUGCAGUGCUGCGUUAUUUAAGACUAUCAGCAAAUUAUUUGAUAGAUUGUUCUUAUGACUUGUAUUCUGAUUUCAGAAAACCAUCAUGAGUGUGGAAUAAAUACUGGAUUAAAUCCUUU